rnacentral:rRNA from 1 species
GACGAACGCUGGCGGCGCGCUUAACACAUGCAAGUCGAACGGUAAGACCCUGCCAUUGCCGGGUGCUCCAGUGGCGAACGGGUGUGUCACCCGUGAGUAACCUGCCACUUACUUAGCCAUAACUUCAGAUUACUGUGGCCUCUACCGGCCAGGAGCACUAGCUGCUAGGAUCGGAAUGACAAGUUUCGGCGGUUGGGGAUGUACUCGCGGCUAAUCAGCUUGCUGGUGGGGUAGUGGCGUAGCAAGGCUAUGACGGGAAGCGGGCCUGAGAGGGUGACCGGCCACAUUGGGACGGAGAUACGGCCCAGACUCCUACGGGAGGCAGCAGUGGGGAAUAUUGCACAAUGGGCGGAAGCCUGAUGCAGCAACGCCGCGUGCGGGAUGACGGCCUUCGGGUUGUAACCCGCUUUCGCCUGUGACGAAGCGUGAGUGACGGUAAUGGGUAAAGAAGCACCGGCUAACUACGUG